rnacentral:rRNA from 1 species
CGUUUUAAGCAUGCAAGUCGAGCGGUAAGCCGGAGCAAUCCGGCCUAGAGCGGCGGACGGGUGAGUAACACGUGGAUAAUCUGGCCUACAGUUUGGGAUAGCCUGGUGAAAGCCAGGAUAAUACCGGAUACGACAGUUUUAACAGAAGUUGAGAUUGGGAAAGGGGCUAAGGCCUCGCUGAAGGAUGAGUCCGCGUCCCAUUAGCUGGAUGGUAGGGUAAAGGCCUACCAUGGCGAUGAUGGGUAGCCGGCCUAAGAGGGUGAACGGCCACAUUGGGACUGAGAUACGGCCCAGACUCCUACGGGAGGCAGCAGCUAAGAAUCUUCCGCAAUGGUCGAAAGACUGACGGAGCGACGCCGCGUGAAUGAUGAAGGCCGUGAGGUUGUAAAGUUCUUUUCUGGAGGGAGAAUAAGUGCAUCAGGGAAUGGGUGCAUGAUGACGUGAAUCCAGGAAUAAGCCCCGGCUAACUACGUGCCAGCAGCCGCGGUAACACGUAGGGGGCAAGCGUUGUUCGGAAUUAUUGGGCGUAAAGGGCGCGCAGGCGGCCUGGCAAGUCUGCUGUUAAAUGGUUGAGCUUAACUCAAUCAUGCGGUGGAAACUACAAGGCUAGAAUCAACGAGGGGAUGCCGGAAUUCCAGGUGUAGGGGUGAAAUCUGUAGAUAUCUGGAAGAACACCAAUGGCGAAGGCAGGCAUCUGGCGACUGAUUGACGCUGAGGCGCGAAGGUGCGGGGAGCAAACAGGUUUAGAUAUCCUGGUAGUCCGCACAGUAAACGAUGUGCACCAGGUGGCGGGUAGCAGUACUCCGGUACCGAAACCAACGCAUUAAGUGCACCGCCUGGGGAGUAUGCUCGCAAGGGUGAAACUCAAAGGAAUUGACGGGCCCGCACAACCGGUGGACCUGUGGGUUUAAUUCGACGAUCCGGAA